UCAGCGUCCAAUGAAGAAUGGAAACUGGUUGAAAUAAGAGAUGAACCAGAAACACAUUCCAAUGGGGGGAAAUUUAGUUGUCAAGAGGGGCAAGCUGCUCUCCAGGACACUCCUAUAUUGGCUAAGUCUCCAGAUACAAAAACAAAUGAACUAAUACGCAAGGGCGUAACAAAAUCUGUUAUUGGACUGCCACGUCUCCAGAUACAAAAUCAAAUGAACUAAUACGCAAGGGCGUAACAAAAUCUGUUAUUGGACUGCCAAGUUUUAAUGGAUCUAGUGAUCUCACUGUUCAUUUCCACCCACACAACAUCAAGGU
rnacentral:lncRNA from 1 species